rnacentral:rRNA from 1 species
UACAGAGGUCUCAAGCGUUGUUCGGAUUCAUUGGGCGUAAAGGGCGCGUAGGCUGCGGGGCAAGUCGGGUGUGAAAUCUCAGAGCUCAACUCUGAAACUGCACUCGAUACUGCCUUGCUUGAGGACUGGAGAGGAGAUUGGAAUUCACGGUGUAGCAGUGAAAUGCGUAGAUAUCGUGAGGAAGACCAGUGGCGAAGGCGGAUCUCUGGACAGUUCCUGACGCUGAGGCGCGAAGGCCAGGGGAGCAAACGGG